rnacentral:rRNA from 1 species
UUCCUACGGGAGGCAGCAGUGGGGGAUAUUGCACAAUGGGGGGAACCCUGAUGCAGCGACGCCGCGUGGGUGAAGAAGCGCCUCGGCGCGUAAAGCCCUGUCAGCAGGGAAGAAAAUGACGGUACCUGAAGAAGAAGCCCCGGCUAACUACGUGCCAGCAGCCGCGGUAAUACGUAGGUGGCGAGCGUUAUCCGGAAUGAUUGGGCGUAAAGGGUGCGCAGGCGGUCCUGCAAGUCUGGAGUGAAACGAAUGAGCUCAACUCAUGCAUGGCUUUGGAAACUGGAGGACUGGAGAGCAGGAGAGGG